rnacentral:rRNA from 1 species
UACGAAGGGGGCUAGCGUUGUUCGGAUUUACUGGGCGUAAAGCGCACGUAGGCGGACUUUUAAGUCAGGGGUGAAAUCCCGGGGCUCAACCCCGGAACUGCCUUUGAUACUGGAAGUCUUGAGUAUGGUAGAGGUGAGUGGAAUUCCGAGUGUAGAGGUGAAAUUCGUAGAUAUUCGGAGGAACACCAGUGGCGAAGGCGGCUCACUGGACCAUUACUGACGCUGAGGUGCGAAAGCGUGGGGAGCAAACAGGAUUAGAUACCCGUGUAGUCC